UACGAAGGGGGCUAGCGUUGCUCGGAAUCACUGGGCGUAAAGCGCACGUAGGCGGAUUGUUAAGUCAGGGGUGAAAUCCUGGAGCUCAACUCCAGAACUGCCUUUGAUACUGUCGAUCUUGAGUCCGGGAGAGGUGAGUGGAACUGCGAGUGUAGAGGUGAAAUUCGUAGAUAUUCGCAAGAACACCAGUGGCGAAGGCGGCUCACUGGCCCGGUACUGACGCUGAGGCACGAAAGCGUGGGGAGCAAACAGG
rnacentral:rRNA from 1 species